rnacentral:lncRNA from 1 species
AAAGUGGGGUGGAGAAAAGCAGAGAAAGAAGACACAAAGACAGCCACAGCUGGAGCUCAGGAAAAGGAACCACGGAGGUGUGCAGGCACCAGACCCAUCCACUUUCAGAGAUGUGCUCCAAAACUCUACAGGAAAGAAGCUGCCCAGAACUGCAGAAUAACGUACUACCAAUUUCAGCACACUCUUUCCUUGCUAUGUCAGGGCCUGAGAACAAAAGCCAGCAUUUUCUACAGUCUUUAUGGAGCGACCAGCUUGUGGCAAGCUAAUACAGAACACAUGGCUUUAACACUCAGAAAGUUGAGUCUAAGGGAGGAGAUCAGAGCAGAGGCUUCUUAGCUAGGAGAUAAAAGUGUGAAAACAAACCUUUUGGUUGCAUU